rnacentral:rRNA from 1 species
UGCCCGAAUCCUGACACAGGGAGGUAGUGACAAGAAAUAACAAUACAGGGCUACUUCUAGUCUUGUAAUUGGAAUGAGUACAACUUACAUCUCUUCACGAGGAUCAACUGGAGGGCAAGUCUGGUGCCAGCAGCCGCGGUAAUUCCAGCUCCAGAAGCGUAUAUUAAAGUUGUUGCAGUUAAAACGCUCGUAGUCGGGUUUCGGGUCGGGCCGAGCGGUCUGCCGAUGGGUAUGCACUGUUUGGCGCGGCCUUCUUUCCGGAGACCGCGGCUACUCUUAACUGAGCGGGCGUGGGAGACGGAUCGUUUACUUUGAAAAAAUCAGAGUGUUUCAAGCAGGCAGCUCGCUCUUGCAUGGUACAGCAUGGGAUGAUUGAAUAGGACUCCGGUGCUAUUUUGUUGGUUUCGAACACCAGGAGUAAUGAUUAACAGGGACAGUCAG